CAGUCGCCGCGGGAAUACGUAGGGUGCAAGCGUUAAUCGGAAUUACUGGGCGUAAAGCGUGCGCAGGCGGUUAUAUAAGACAGAUGUGAAAUCCCCGGGCUCAACCUGGGAACUGCAUUUGUGACUGUAUAGCUAGAGUACGGCAGAGGGGGAUGGAAUUCCGCGUGUAGCAGUGAAAUGCGUAGAUAUGCGGAGGAACACCGAUGGCGAAGGCAAUCCCCUGGGCCUGUACUGACGCUCAUGCACGAAAGCGUGGGGAGCAAACAGGAUUAGAUACCCGAGUAGUCCCUGUCUCUUAUCC
rnacentral:rRNA from 1 species